CAGAGGAGGAGAUGAAGAGGGAACCUUGCUAAAGCUCCGUUCUUUUGGGCUCUUUGUAGGACUCCCUCUCCCUCCUCCUCUAUC
rnacentral:pre_miRNA from 1 species